AUCAAACCGAUGAGUAAGAGAAGUAGAUACAAUAAUUAUUUUAUAGAGAGUUGUGGAUGGUGGAAUCAUGACAAAUAACUUGUAUUGAAUGGACUUACGAGGGCAGAAUGAAAGGUGUAUCUUAGUAGUAUCUGACGGGAACUCCAUCCGUUAUCACAGGAGCAUAUAUGAUAGUAUAUGAGAUGAGUGGGUCUUUAUGACCAAUUAGGGUGGUACCGCAGAAGCAGAAGAUAUGACUUUUGUCCCAAUU
rnacentral:ncRNA from 1 species